rnacentral:rRNA from 1 species
GACGAACGCUGGCGGCGUGCUUAACACAUGCAAGUCGAGCGGUAAGGCCCUUUCGGGGGUACGACGAGCGGCGAACGGGUGAGUAACACGUGGGUGACCUGCCCUCAGCUCUGGGAUAAGCCCGGGAAACUGGGUCUAAUACUGGAUAUGACUCCAUGACGCAUGUUGUGGGGUGGAAAGCCUUGUGCGGCUGAGGAUGGGCCCGCGGCCUAUCAGCUUGUUGGUGGGGGGAU